AACGGCGUGCGACGCGCAGGCGCCGGGAAGCCCACUGGGCGGAAACUGGAGCGAGCCCGCCCUCCUCCAGCCCCGCGGCCUCCCUUUCGCGCCCCCUAUCGGCAGGGCCAGUGGGGCAGCAGAAGCGUGGCUCGCAGGGCCCAGCCCCAGCCACAUGCACCGAGCUGAGCGCGCGCUGGCCUGUGUGGAGCCCAGGCAAGAACGGAGUAACUGGUACAGAGGAGACUUUGCGUUUUCAGGAAUGCAGUGUCCCGUUUCCAGGAGCUCUGCAGAGUCUCAUCCAUCCCUGGGGAAGGAAGACACCCGGCUGCAAUCAAGAACCCCGCACCCGUCCAGGUCUCAGCUCGUGCCGUCACCCCUGAGGCUGGAACAGUCUCUGAAGAGGGGCUGCACAGUUCCACGGGGGAAACUGUGAAGGAAAACAUAGGCCUGGCCUGUCAGCGGGGGAGUCCCAGAAAACGCUCUGGUCAGUCGGCGCUUGAAGAUAAAACUCAGCCAUAGAAGGUGAUGACAGCAGCCACUGAUGAUCAGCACUUAGACCCACUAAUUCAUUAGGAGCUACACAAUGAGGGAGGCUCUGGAUACAUUCUAAAGAGAUCUGUGGCCUGAAGGAGGAUGAGAACUUAUAAAGAAACAUGUGAACUAAAAUGGAAGAAAGGGACAAAUGGAAGCAUAUCUGGGGACUAGAAAAACAUCACAAAAACUCAAUGUACUAGAAGAUCGGCUAAAAUUGCAAAGCACUUACAAAUAACAUAGGAUGUGGCAGCCCAAUGAGCAAGGAGUAACAGUAAACAUGUGGACCACCGAACCCUGAGGCUGACUCUUCGCUGGCUUCUGCCCCGUGCUUGCUGCCUUGGAUGUCGUGUAAACCCAUGCUGUUCCCACCCAGCAUUUCCAAAACGAUACCGGACUUCCUGGAGCAACAGGGUAGAGUUCUUUUGAGUAAAGGGAAAGGAAUGGAAGCUGGCUCAAAUAACCUGCAGAAGAAAGAGGGUGAAAAACUACCAAGACUAAGGGACUUGCAGCUAGUUACCCUGCAGUGGGGUUGCUAUCGGUGACUGUGGGUUUUGUGCUCUGGCCUCUGUGGAAUAGCAGGUUUCCCCCAGGGACUUCUGACAUUGGAGCUUUGCAUUGGCCACUCCACUUUUUACUCAUCCCAUCAUCCCACCUCCACUGUCAAUCAAGGGUGUGACCUUGACUUGGACGCCUGUGUGUCUCCCUGCCAGUUUUCCCAGGCUGUGAUUAAGACUGCAGUUCUGGGUCAUCUGUAUACCCAGGGUGGGUCCUGGUAAGGACUCAUCCCAUCUUCAAGAGCCCAGAAGAAAUAUGCAUGCACAGAAAUAAGUGAAACAUAGCAAGGCGGCUGCUGCAACAGUGGUGCAGGUCCAGGCCAUGAUACAGACAAGUGUUAGAGCCACCUCCCAGGAAGGCUGCAUGGAGGAGGUACCCUGAGGAGAGUCGAAACCCGACAAGCAUAUAUGAACUUGCUGGGUAGACGGGGGCAGUAACCUCCUCAGGUAGACAGUGCUUAGGCCCUUUGGAUGACUUCCUGCAGCCCUUAACACUGUCUCCUCUUCUGUCUGUACACAAGAAAAAUAAACCAACCUAAGUCAUACUUUCAUGUGACUCUUUUUUUUCUUCCAUGAGUCAAGAGACUGUCAAUAAAUGAGCUCUUCCUUCCUCGACAUAAAGAACUAAAAUGGUAUUAAUCAGAUGCUUAGCAGCAUAACUGAUAAAGUUCCAAAGGUAUCUAGGAGGAAGAGGGCAAUAAAACGUUAUGUUUGUAAAAGCAGAAUGUCUUAGAGCUUUCAAAGGGUGUUGAUAACUACUAAUGCUUUCAAUUCCGAAAACUUAUCAGAAGUUGUCUGAUAUUAUUAUCCUUAUUACACGGCUGGGCAAAGUAAAGUCUUAGGGAGAUCAUAUGACUUCUAGGUCUUCCAGAUUUGAUGAACUGUAGAUGGAUAAGUGGGGUUACCUGGACACCUGGUCCAGUGCUUUCCUUUGGCAACAACAGAACGGGAGGAGUGGCUUAGUGGGAAGAGUGGGCAAUUCCAGGCUGGAGUCAUGAAGCCUCGGUUUGAUGAGAAAUCCUACUUUGUACAUACUGCUGGGCUCUGAGAAUCCAGGGAGAGAGACCAAGGGUCUCAAGGACCUGUCGCAGAUGAACAAAGUGGAAUUUGUAAACAAACUGAAGAUCCAUGCUUCCCGCCUGGAAUUGCUCAUUUUCCAUGAAAAUACAAGGCCUGAGUAGGGAGCGUGUCUAUAUCACAGAGAGUCUGAUGUUGGUCGGGGGGUGGGGGUAGAAAGAGAUGAAUGCUGUCUGCAGAACAUCACGAGCAAACACUGCUACACUUGAAAGAAAUGUGAACUCUUUCCUUUAUAAAUGUGAGUAUCACUGGAGCACUGUUUGUAGAAAUGUGGCCACCGACCAGGACUGUCCUUGACUGAACUGUGGGCAGACUCUGAGGAAGAAGGUUCCUGCCAGUAGGGACAGCCAUGUGUCCCAGGUGCUGUAAGCAUUUUUGAUUUAUAUGAAAAGGAGAUUCUGCUUUUCUUUCUCAAAAAGAAAAAAAAAAAGUUUGAAAGAUGAUUGUGCACAUUCUUUGUAUAGUGUUUCUGUUUUGUUUCAUUCAAUAUAACUUCACCGAACAUCUACCAGGUACAGACAUCAUUCCAGAUCAUGAGGAUACAAGGAAAGAAGGGACUAUCCUGCUGGUGCACCUUUGCUAGUCCUGUUUCCUCUACUUAGACCCCCCAUUCUUCUGGAUCACCCUUCCCCAGGAGGCUCCCCGUUUCCUUACACUGUAUCCUAGGUAGGGAAGGUACCCUUUCUCUCUCUGCUCGCCUCAGUCAUACCCCCUGGACUGGGAUCCCUGAGGCCAAAUCCUGGCUAUUCUCUGUCUCUGGUCCCAGAAUCUCACAGGUGAGGCACAGAACAAGUCUUGACAAAUGUAUAGGGAUCAACAGGUACCCUCAGGCCCUGUCCCGCAGGCCCUGUUUAGUGAUAUUAAACAGGCCAUGUUCACCUCAGCGAGGUCUGCCUGUUGUCAGCUCUGGAAAGAUGUGGGGUGUGAGCAUAUCCUCAAACAGGCAGAAGCCUUCCCUUUUCAUGGACCUGUUGAGAAGAAGCUCCCACAGUCUUCCAUCUGGGGCCUGGGCACCUUCCUUGGGCCAGGCUCUAUAAAGGCCAUCCCUUAAUCGGCCAAUCUCAGCGUUUUUGUUUCUGCCACAUCCACAUGGCAGGCUGUUUCCAGGCAUGGCACCCCCAGAGGUGGGGCCAGAGUUGGGGAAAUGUUUUCUAGGAAGGGAUGUGCCAUAGUAAUUGGCCACAGCCUCAGCUCUUCAGGACUGUGCACAAACCUUGCCUCAGCCUUCUAUGCCAUUAUUCAGAAAAACACACUAACAAAGAAAGGGAAUUGGCUUCGUCAUGUUCAUGUGAUCGGGAUAACACUGAGUCCAUUCUGAGUGAUAAAAAUAAAACUGACAAACUUUACUACCUUAACUCUCAUGAGUAAUAAUGUAUUAGAAACAGACUUGUGUUCAUCAGAAAACAAUCGUGUUGUAAUUUGCCGCUGAUAACCUCUCAAAGAGGAUGCUGACUCCUGCACCUUUGGGCAGCCAAGGGUCAGCGCAGGUGUGGGCAGUCCCCAGAGGAUGUGAGAACAGCAAACUUUGGAAGCAGGAAGGGCCUUCGCAAGCAUCUGGGAGCUGCCGUUUUUGCCACCCUCGACGUGUGGUAAAGGGGCAUUGGGGUGAUUGUGGCUGCGGCACGCCUGAAUAAUUGCAAACAACAUGAUACUCUGCUACUAACGCCAACUUCUCACAUUUCUGGAAUUAUGCCCAACACUGAGCAAAAGCAAGAGCGCAAAUUAUAUUGUGAGAAGGCUUUGGUUUCUGACUUUUUAAAGGAAUAUUUAGAGUAUUGCAUAAGGCUUUCAUACCACACUGUUCAUUUACAAUAAAAUGAACUUUUGCUUCCUGCAUGGCUGUUGGCAGAUGUGGUCCUGGAGAAGGGUCUCCUGACUGUAGAGUCAGUGCUUCAGCUGGAGGAGAUGUAGCUGUCCUCCAGCCCUGCCCAUCCCUACUCCCCAAAGGCCUCUUUCAGAUCUCUCAGGGGUCAGGCUCUGAGUGGGGAAAAAUGGAUCCCUGGGUCCAAGCAGGCGACGCUUUUAACCUGAGUUACAGACAAGGGUGAGAUCAGGAAAGGGGAGGGACGGACUUGCUUGGGUGCAACAUCGAAGGGGACACCAAAAACUUGGUAAUUGAGAUAAAUGCCACAUAAUUUAAUAUUCAGAAAAUCAGAAUUAAUACAAAGUGGUAUUGCUUUUUCCCCUUUUGCCUCAAGCUUCCAUAGGGCUUGGCCCAGCUUUGUUUCUGGUCCUGUUACCUAAGAUUUUGAUAUUUUGUUCACUGUGGAUUUUGUACUAAUGUUGAUUUUUAAAAAUAUUACAUGGAAGCAUUAUUCAUUAAUUUUUGGGUGUCUGCCCCAGGCUAGGAACUUACUUGUAUCGUUACAGUCCCACCCCUGUUACAGAUGCUCCUGUGCACAAAAAAGCACCAUGGGGAAUCAGAAGGGUGAGUCUAUGCAAGCCUCCAGGGGCUCACGCAUUGUCUCUCUCUCCCCAUUCCAUUUCACCUGUGCUCUCUGCGCAGGCUUCGAGGUUGAGGAGGCAAAACAAAAACAAAAACAAAAACAAACAACAACAAAAACACUUGUCUUAUUUUCACUGGCGGGCGGUGUCUGAUGUAAGAUCUUGAGUCGCAGCUUCCUAAUAUACUCCUCAUUGGUAACUUACAAUUAAUUCACAGGAUAUUCUUGGUUUAAAACAAACCUGGGGACCAGACUGAAAAUGCAUUUCAGGACAUCUGCAGGGAUCAUGAAAAUCUCAGCAUUAGGUAAUUCUCUCUAUAAGACACCUUCAGGCAUAAAAAUAUAUUCAAAUAAAAACCGUAUUAGGGGA